rnacentral:rRNA from 1 species
GACGUAGGGUGCAAGCGUUGUCCGGAUUUAUUGGGCGUAAAGAGCUCGUAGGCGGCUUGUUGCUUCGACUGUGAAAACCCGCGGCUUAACCGCGGGCUUGCAGUUGAUACGGGCAGGCUAGAGUUCGGUAGGGGAGACUGGAAUUCCUGGUGUAGCGGUGAAAUGCGCAGAUAUCAGGAGGAACACCGGUGGCGAAGGCGGGUCUCUGGGCCGAUACUGACGCUGAGGAGCGAAAGCGUGGGGAGCGAACAGG